rnacentral:lncRNA from 1 species
CGGAGUCCCAAGGAUCUUUGCUGUCCAACAGUUGUGCAUCACUCACACAUCUUGCAAGGAGACAACUAUAUAGUAGUCCUCAUCUUCAGGUGAAGACUACUACCUUCAACAGAAUCCAGUAGAAAUUGCAGAAGGAUCUCAGUCACAGUUACACAACUCUGAUUACUGCUGGAAUGGAUAGUUUCUUGUUCCUCAUCAAAACAUUUAUCUUCUGCAAAAAGCCUGAAGAACACAAUGAGAAAUUUUGUACAACUCUAUUGUGGCAUAAGAGAUCAAAGUUAAGAUUUAAAUGAGUUUAUUGAUGGCCUCUACUCAGUAUUUUCUUCAAGGGAUCACAGAUAGUUUCAAAUAAGUUUUCAAUGAUGCAACAUGAAUAAUACAUUACAACAAGCAAGUUAAUGAGUAGUCCUAAGUCUUAAUUCAUUUCUAUACUCAGUCAGCUGCAAAACAGAUUGUGUCUAUCAUACAAAUAAGAAUAAACAUCUGUUGGACAUUUCA